UUUGUUUUGCUUAAACUAAAUAAAAUAAAAACAAAAACAAGAGCAACAGCAACGGAUGCCUCAUCGUCCUCCUCUCUCACUUCACUCGCUUUCUCAAUCUCAACGAAUUUCUCUCACCCUCUUAACCCCACGUUUCUCUCACCCUCAAUCAUUCAUCUCUCAGCUGCUCUCUCAAUCUAAAAUGCAAGGAUCCAUGGUUUUAAGGAGAAACAAAAAGAAAGAAGCUCACCUCCGGCGACGAAGACUCAGCUUUAGGGUUUCAAUUUGGUAUCCAAAGAUUCAAUAGGGAAACUUCCUGAAAAUGCUUUUUGUGCUCAGAAUUGGGUUGUCCUGUUUGAUGCUACAAUUCGAAACGUGAAUUUCUUGUAACAGGGAGGUUGUUGAUGAGGUUGAGGUUCAAGGGUUUGGUUGCAGAAGGUUCUGUUGUUGUUGUUGCUGCAUCUGAGAUAACAUAUGUGAUAACCACCGUCUGUCCAACUUCAAGGCCGUUUAAUCCAGCAUGUACAUUGAUCGAAUUUGUGCAGAAAACAGCCAACAGCCCCAUGUAUAGUUUAUACAUCCAUCCAAGAUCCAAAAUCUCUAUGCCAAUAUGUGGUACAAGUGGUUUCGGUAUAACUAUAGUUGUGUGUCCAGCAUAUGCCAUUAACAAAGGAAGUACAACAAUUGAUGGUAGUAAUAAUUUUACUCUCCAAGGGACAUCAAGGACAUCAUCGACAAAUCCAAACAAUGUCAUGAAACAGAUGCAUGCUAAAGCAAAUUUGUACUCAACAAGCCAAUUUGAAUUUGCUGUGAAGUUGAAAUGCUGAAAUAAGAUUGUCACAACCAAGAAGAUAAUACCAUCAACUAUACCCAAUGAUUCAGGUUAUGGUUGGUGUGAUCGGUUAUGGACCAGGGACAUCACUUAACAGGCAUGAAUUGAGUUAUUCUGUUAGGUUGAAUCCUACUGAGAAAGGCGACAUUGCUUUAAUGUUUGGUGAUGGCACUUGUUGUGUUUGAAUUUAGCUUAUGGCUUGAGUGAUAAGUAAACUGAACUCCUCCGGUUUUUUAAUGUUUCAGGAUGUUCCUUUAAAUACAUGUCAAUGGCACGGUAAAGACCAUCAUGAGACUGUCUAGGAAAGCUUGAUACCAGAUCGGCGAUAUUCACAAAUAUCAGAAGAGGCAAAUUCAGAUCACGUGCAAUCUCAGCAAGAUAGCUAUCGACCAGUUUCGCUACCUUGAUCUUGCUAGAAGAACUUGAUACCAUUUUAGGACUUCUGAUCUCCUGCAAUUCGUCUUCCAACAGAGAUUGAUGUUCCUGUGCUACAAACGCCUCAACGAGCUUCUGCAUAGUUUCGACGUCGUAAGCUGGACUCAAAUAUAUUCAGAGUCGGAACCCAUGUGCCGAGAAGAAUUUCAGCUCCUGCUAACAGCAAGAGAUUUUGCAAUUGCCCAUCCGUACCCAUUGUCAUCAGCCACGCCGACUUUACAGAUGAUGAUGUAAAGCUCCGUUGGAAGGGCUGCACCGACGCAUCAUGACACACACUCGCAAGUUUAUUCCAUGAUCCCCCUUGGACUUUCCACCGAAAAUCUCAGUACUCACAUCGGUAAACUUCUGUGGUGAAGGAAUGCAUGAUCUUGACAUUGCAAUUUGCAAGGUUGCGGACAUCAUACCAUAUAGUUCAUUCGGUAAAGAUGAUCCCCGGAAAGUAUCAAUAUAUGCUCAACAUUCUGGUCUUGGCGUUCUCAAAAACCCAUAGAAAUUGCCUCACAGCAUCAGCAGUCCCCUGGAACCAUUUCUUGCCAGCUUCUCCAGAUGUUUGAGUUGCAGCCAAUACCUCCACAAAACCCUCCCCAUAAGUGGAAACAUUUCCAAAAUUAUACGCGCGAGAUAAAUGUCGGUUGAGUGAGAAAGAAUUGUAUUGUGUCAAGAUAAAUAUUUUUCUAAUCCCACUGUUGAUGCAAUUGCUCAUAGGAACAUCAAUGAGCCUAUAACACCCUCCACUUGGAACAGCAGGUUUAACUCUUUUGCUAGUAAGAGGAAAAAAAGGCGAGUUCUCGCACCACCACCCAAAAUGAUUGAAGCAACACUUUUAGGGUCUGCUUUAGGAGUAUCAAAAUAGGGUCCAUCAUGAAAAGUCAUGGAUUCUUCAAAAUCAUUGAUCCUUGUAGUGAGAACAGCCUGAAUUCUUCUAGGCUUGAAGUUUCUAAGAAUGAAGCGAGAUUGUGAAGUUUUGAUGUCAGUUUGGAUUCCUUCCAUCCUUGCUUACAUGAAUGCAUUGGUGUUGCUGGAGUUGUGAGAAGGCAGGCAGUGGAUAUCUCACCCCUUCGCCGUGUUAAUCAAGCUAUCUAUCUUAUCAGUAUCGGUGCACGUGAAGCUGCUUUUAGGAAUAUUAAGACAAUUGCUGAAUGUUUGGCUGAUGAACUUAUUAAUGCGGCAAAAGGUUCAUCUAACAGUUAUGCAAUAAAGAAGAAAGAUGAAAUUGAGAGAGUUGCCAAGGCAAAUCGUUAAGCAACUUAUGACAGGAGAAUUGGCACCCUCAGAUUUUUUGAUGCAACUUAAUUAUGAUUUUGACUUUAGUUUCUUAGCCUUUUGCUUGCGUAUACAAUGAGUAAUUUUGUUCCUUAAACGUGUAAUGUGUUUGUUUUCCAAGACCAUGAUGCGUUUGGUUUAGACAUGAUAUUGCUGUUAUGGAAUUCUUAUGGGAUUGGAAUUGGGAUUUGUUUUUGUUGGAUAAUUGUUUUGGAUUAAUGAACUUUGGGUUAUGAAAUGGUUUAAAUUGGUUCCAAAUGGAUAAU